GACAGAGGUGGCCGAGCGUUAGGCGGGAAUCACUGGGCUUAAAGCGUGUGUAGGCGGAUCUGUAAGUACCUUGUGAAAUCCCACGGCUCAACCGUGGAACUGCUUGGUAUACUCGCGGGUCUUGAAGCCACCUAGGGGCAAGUGGAACAAACGGUGGAGCGGUGAAAUGCGUAGAGUAUCGUUUCGGAACGCCAAUGGUGAAAACAACUUGC
rnacentral:rRNA from 1 species